rnacentral:rRNA from 1 species
AUCUACCAAAAGUUUACGAGAUCUUCAUAAACCUUAANNAAACUUAAGAGCUAUUCAAAUAGGGCACAGCUUAUUUGAAAAAGGAUACAACCUAUUAUAUAGGGUAAUUAAACAAGAAAAACUGUUAAGUGGGCCAAAAAGCAGCCACCUUUCAAAAAGCGUUAAAGCUUUACCUUUAUUCUUUUAAAAUAACUCUACCACUACACAACCCACUAUUAAUAUUGAGUAACUCCAUAAAAAUAUGGAAGAUAUAAUGCUAGAACUAGUAACAAGAAGUAGAACUUCUCCAAAAUGUAAGCCUAAGCCACCCUAGACACCCUACUGGCAAUUAACGUAUAUGAAUCCACUUUACUAACCCCUCCAAGAAAAUCUUAAACAUUUUUACGUUAAACUUACACUAGAACAUUUAUGGAAAGAUUAUAAGAAAAAGAAGGAACUCGGCAAAUAUUAACCUCGCCUGUUUACCAAAAACAUCGCCUCUUGCCCAAAUAUAAGAGGUCCAGCCUGCCCAGUGACAAAAUUUAACGGCCGCGGUACCCUAACCGUGCGAAGGUAGCAUAAUCAUUUGUUCUUUAAAUGAGGACUAGUAUCAACGGCAUCACGAGGGUUAAACUGUCUCCUUUUUCAUAUCAGUAAAACUAAUCUCCCCGUGAAGAAGCGGGAAUAAUUUUAUAAGACGAGAAGACCCCAUGGAGCUUUAAACCCAACUACACCCCUCUUAAUUUUACCUCUUAACACUCAGGAUCCUGUAUGUUCCGGUUUUAGGUUGGGGUGACCACGGAGCAUAGAUUAGCCUCCAUAAUGAAUAGCCCUCCUCUUUAUCCAAGACUUACACCUUUGAGAAUUUGCAUUCUAACAUAAAAUGAUCCGAUAUUCGAUCAACGAACCAGGUAAGAUU